UCAAAAUUCUAACGGCAGUUAGGGUUUAACUGGAAUGGCAAAUCCUCCGGUGACUCUCAGGAGAUGCCUCAUUACAGGCAUCAAUUCUCCCUCUCUGUCAGGACGUAUUGGCAGCGGUCGGAGACAAUAUGCCGCCGGAAGGUCCCAUUCUUGCAAUAGUGUGGUGGAGCAGAUGGAUCGCUUUAGUUUCAGAGAGAUAAGCUUUGAUCAAUUUCUGCACAUCUUUCUCUAACUCCAAGUGCAUCUUUGAGGUAUUUUAACUGACCACAAAAACUCCUAUUCUUGAUAAGAUAUGUGUAUAUACAUUUUGGUCAGAUACUUUGUGGAUUGUCAGUGUAAGGAGCCAUAGGAAUAUAGAAAUAGAUGCUCUGUUCAGAGCCUAAAGGUCAGAAAUUAAUUCAAGUGCUUGGUAGUGAUUUUCUCUAAAUCUAUGUUCGGGAGCAUGGAAUUGGAUAUAUUUUGGUUUAAUUUUCUGGGUUGCUUUUCUCCAGUUUCACCAAUUUUAAUUUCAAACCGCCACUUCGAUGCAGCCGAAUAUAGCUUAAAGUAAAUUAUUAUGGAAUCAGAAAUUAAAAAUUAACAUCGGUAUCAUACAUAUUGGAAAUUUGGAAUAAUGGGCAAUAUUGUAAACAAUGUGUUCCGAACACACAUAUGCUAUUAUGAUACAAGUAUUAAGUAAUAAUGAUUGGUGAGCUAGCCUAAGAGCAACGGUAGUACUGAAUCCCACAGAUAGGGUCAGUAUGAAAGGCCAGGCUAGGUUUGGGCUUGUAGACUUGAAGUUCAGUUGCAGAAAUGUUAUAAGACACACCUAAUCUGAAAUUUAUUUGACAUUGAUCCCAAAGCUACACAAUCAGAUGCAUUGUGAACUCAAAUUUGCUAGUCAACACUUGCAACUAAAAGUUGGUUUCCUAGAAUAUGCCUGUUUUUCAGUUGAUUAUAGCUUGUUGUUUGACCAGCAGAUGCAGCUAUUAGUCCUGAACUGAUACCUAGCAAUAUUAUAAUUGGUAAAAACCCUAUUGAAAGAGUCGACUUAUGCAUACAUAGUCAGGUUGUGAGGUAAAUUAUGCACUCUUGCUUGGAAAAACAUUAAGUGAAAAAUUAGAAUAGUGUUUCCAAGUGAGAGGGUUCGAGUCUCUCUAAUUCUAUGUCCAAAAAAAAAAAAAAAAAAUUUAAAUGAUAAUAGUGUUGCCAACCAAAAAGAUACCUAGUAAAACUUAUCAAAAAAAAGAUACCUAGUAAUGCUAUUUCAUAAUUAUUAAGAUAAGACCAGCCCAAAUAAAUAAUUGUUAUUAAUAUAGCCGUUACUUAAUGAUAUUCAUUUUUUUAUUUCCGAUAAGCAUCUCCAAUGAGAUGAAAGCUCACGACCAGAUUAAGAGGUUUAGGAAGAGGACAAGUGUGAGAUUAAAGAAAAUCUGGUAACAAAUGAGCUAAAUCAAUUAACCUAUCCAACAUAUAUGGUAUUUUAUAGAUUUUAAUAUCAUUUGUUGCUAGCAGAUUGUGUAGUACAUACAUACUCGAUCUGAUUGCAGUCAUAACCUAUUCAACUUGGGCCGCUUGGCCAUUGCCAACUCUUAUAUAUUGAUAAGAUCCAAAUGGAGUUACGGAUUUUUAGCAUGGUUAAUUUCUUUGCCUUGCAAAUGUCAGUUGGUCAUUUCAUGGGUUAGAAUCUAGCUAAUCAAACAUGUAAACAAACCAAAGGCCCCGAAAAGAAAUUGGAGGGCACAACAGUCAUGGUGUAGCUAGCUCUGCAAAUGGUAAUUAAUUGUUUACUAGGCAUCCAAAGCAAUUAAAACUUGUGCCGAAAAUUUAGCCCAAUUCCCUCCCCUAAGUAAGUAACAAAAAUGCAUCACUUGGGCACCCAUCUUCCAUUGUCACCUCCCAUUCUAAAGAAAAUGGCAUCUUACACCCUUAAUCACCCACUUUCACACACAAAAACACACCUGCACUCGUUUGUUGUAAUAUCCUGAAUUUCAUUAAAUUCUUAUAUUGGAUUAGGAAAUUGACAAUUGAUUUAACUUAAAUUAAUAUUCGGGUUUGGCAUUACAAUUCAUGCCACAAUAUUUUGAAUGGAUAAUCCUAAUUUCAUUUGAUGGAAAUUUAGUAUGUUGUUGGGUUAAUAUAUUUACUCUUGAGGAGGAGACUGGACAAACUAUUGAAAAUUGAGUGAAAUUAAUGAAGAAUAAUUGAUGGCGGUAGAAAGUAAAGAUAGAAUUAAAGUCCAAAAAUUUUAAAUCAGAGGAAAUUGGGCGGUUGAUAUAGGAAGUGAAAAACAAAUUGAGGGUUUAGAAUGAAAAUAAUAAUAAUAUUCGGAAGCUUCGUUCACUCCAUAUAUAUACACACACACACAUAUUGGAAUAUGAGAAGAGAAUAAAGAAAAAGGUAAAGGAGGACACGCGUCAUCAACUUAAAAUAUAGGUGACAUGUGUCACACAAACAUGGUGUCCAACACUUAUGUCUACAUGCAAAUAAACCGACACAUGUAUCCAAGAUUAUGUUAAUUUAAAGGCUUUGAAGACACGUUUUGACCAAAAUUAAUUCAUAUGAGAAGUUGAUGUGAGAUACAGAAGAAGUAUAAGAAUGCUUGAAAGAAGAAGAGCAAAGGUGCAACUAAGAAGAAAAAGAGAGCUUAAGAAACGGCCACAGAAAGAGAGAGAAAAGGAAGGAGAGAGGGAGAAGAAGGGAAGAAGAAAAAGGAAAGCAGAAAAGGAGUCUAACGAAGCUAAUUGGUGAGAUUGGUGAAGGAAUAUGGCAUAAGGAAAUGAGCUCAGAUAGCUGAGAGGAUGGUUGGUAGAGCCGGAAACAAUGCCCUGAGCGGUGGCAUAAUCUGAUAUCAAGAAAGAUACUUGCAGUGAAAAAGAAGAGAGGCUAUUAGUUGAAUCUCAUGAGAUGAUUGGAAUUAGAAGGGCAGAAAUUGCUAAGCGAAUUCCCAGGAGGACUGAGAAUUCAAUCAAGAACCAUAGGAAUGCCACGAAAAGGAGGCAGAAUUCAAGGAAGAGCAGCAGGAAACAAGCAGACCAAAAUAGGAGUGCUCAAUCAUCAUCUAUGUUACAAGACUACAUAUGAAGCAAGAAUCUGAAUGGUACUUCAACCAUUAUUACCUCUGCCCAAAGCACCACCACUACCCCAACAGACUCCAGCAUCUCAGAAGACUUGUCGUGCCAAGAAAGAUACUUGGAGUGAAGAAGAAGAAGAGAGGCUAUUAGUUGAAUCUCGUGAGAUGAUUGGGAACAGAUGGGCAGAAGUUGGUAAGCAAAUUCCUGGCAGGACUGAAAAUUCUAUUAAGAACCAUUGGAAUGCCACGGAAAGGAGGCAGAAUUCAAGAAGGAGCAAAGGCCAAAAUGCAAGGGGUACUCAAUCAUCUAUAUUACAAGACUAUAUAAGAAGCUAGAGUCUUACUGGUUCCACAUCCAUUAGAACCCCUACCCAAAGCACCACCACUACCCUGACGGACUCAACUGUCUUGGAAGACAUGUCAUGCCAGUUUGCUCUUUCACUAAGAGAACUAUAUAAGAAGCAAGAAUCUGAAUGGUACUUCAACCAUUAUUACCUCUACCCAAAGCACCACCGCUACCCCAACAGACUCGAGCAUCUCAGAAGUCUUGUUGUGCCAAUUUGCUCUGCAAUAACUAUCUGAAUCCACCAUAGAUGACUCUUCGCCAUUUAUGGAUCAUAUGUAUGAGGAUGAAUUGAGAUUCAUGCAGAUUUUCUUUGGUAACAGCAGCAAUCAAGGAGAAGGAGCAGGAAACAAGAAGGCCAAAAUGGAAGGAGUUCUCAGUCAUCAUCUAUGUACGAGUAUUCAUACCUCCCCGAUCAAUGGAGUAAGAUUUCCCUUGAAGUUGAGGCAAAUCCCGAAUCUAAUGACUAUUCCUAGGAUGUUCCAAGCUUCACGUCAAUCACAGGACUCUCGCUCGUGUGAGUCCUAAUAUUACAAGACUACAUAAGAAGCAAGAAUCUGAAUGGUACAUCAACCGUUAUUACCCUACCCAAAGCACCACCACUACCCGACAGACUCCAGCAUCUCUGAAGACUUGUGGUGCCAAUUUGUUCUGCAAGAACUACCUGAAUCCACCAUAGAUAGCUCUUCGCUAUUUAUAGCGCAAUUUGGCACGACAAGUCUUCUGAGAUGCUGGAGUCUGUCGGGGUAGUGGUGGUGCUUUUGGUAGGGGUAGUAAUGGUUGAAGUACCAUUCAGACUCUUGCUUCUUAUUUAGUUUUGUAAUAUAGAUGAUGAUUGCGUACUCCUUCCAUUUUGGCCUUCUUGUUUCCUGCUCUGGAUCCAUUGUACACAUGUACCUCAGUCAUCACACGUACGGACCUUACCCCUCCCUCGAGCAAUAGAGAUAUAUGAAGACAGGCAUUAACAUUGGCACUGAAUUCCCAUUACAGAAAAGCCUGACCUUCGCAUGUCAGGCCUCUUCGCAUUAGAUGGCACUCAAUCCAUUAUCAUUGGAUGGUUAAUUGCUAUGUUCUCGACUGCUGUGAUGGCUUAAUUUGUAAACAAAUGAUGCAUUAUUUUUCUGUUUUUCUUCAGUUGAAUUGAUUGUAAGCUUUCUUUUCAUUGUGAUUAUAUUUUUCUUUCCCAUGAUUUUCUCUUGUGUUUUUUUCCUUCACUUUCUCAACUGCUUCUGGUAGUCUUUGACUGGAGUCUUUUGAUUUUUUUUUUUUUUUUUUUGGGGUAGAAAACUGAAGUAAAGGAAUAUAUAGGCCUGCUUGGACAACUGUUUUCUGUUUUGAAGAUAACUGAAUAUUAGAAUAUUGUACAAAAACUUUUUUUUAUUUUUAUUUUUAUUUUAUUUUAUUAUAACCUGACAUGGAGGGGAAUGAUGGGAUGAACUUGACUCCCGUACAAAAAUUUGCUUUGGUAACAAUAACGUUUUCUAAAUACUCAACGGCUUCCCAACUGGCCACCUCCACAUGCUUUGUGCAAGAUUGUUAGCCAAAGAGUGAUGAAAUUAAUGCAGUAUAUAGAAUUUAUUUAUUUAUUUAUUUUUUUUUGGAAAUUGAGGCAAUUUGUACAUAUAAUAGCUAGUAAUAUGUACAUUGUGAGCCAAGAAAAGGACCCAACCCAAAACAGAGAAGCUUAGAAGCUUGUACAUAUCUCAACCCAAAUGGUGGUAUUAGAGGCUAAUCCAAAAGGAAAUGAUUAAGCUUGCCCAUCUCAAAAUACAACAUUUAAGGCCCGAGCCCAUCCCUAAUUUUAUUGAAUUGGGAUUCUCAAAUCAAAAUUCUAAUGGCCGUUAGGGUUUAACUGGAAUGGCAAAUCCUCCGGCAAGUCUCAGGAGAUGCCUGAUUAGUGAUUACUGGCAUCAAUUCUCUCCGUCUGGAGGUCUUGGCAGCGGUCGUAGACCAGCUUCCGCCGGCAGGUCCCAUUCUUUCUUGCAAUAGUGUGGUCGAGCAGAUGGAUCGCUUUAGUUUCAGAGAGAUGAGCUUUGAUCAACUUCUAUUUCUUUCUCAAACUCCAAGUACAUCUUUGAGGUAUUUUAACUGACCACAAAACUCCUAUUCUUGAUAAGAUAUAUCUCAGAUGCUUUGUGGAUUGUCAAGUGUAAGUAGCCAUAGGAAUUUAGAAAUAGAUGCUCUGUUUAGCAUAAAGUUCAGAAAUUAAUUCAAAUUCUUGGUAGUGGUUUCCUCUUAAGUCUAUGUUUGGCUGCAUUGAAUUGUAGCCUUAGAAAUGGAACGAACUAAACUUUUCUCUAAUUCUACCAAUUCCAUACAACCGAACAUAGCCUAAAGAAAAAUAUUAUGGAAUCAGAAAUAAAAAUUUAACCUCGCUAUCAUACAUAUUGGAAUAAUGGGCAAUACUGUUUAGAGUGUGUCCAACAAGUAAAAUAAUGUUCGGUGAGCUAGCCUAAGAACAACAGUAGUACUGAGUUCUGCAGACAGGGCCGGUAUGAAAGGUCUGGCUAGGUUUGGGCUUGUAGACCUGAAGUCUAGUUGCAGAAAUGUUAUAAGACAUACCUUAUCUGAAAUUUAUUUGACAUUGAUCCCAAAGUUAUAUAAUCACAGAUGCAUCGUGAACUCAAAUUUGCUAGUCAGCACAUGCAACAAAAAGUUGAUUUCCUUGUACAAAAUGGUAUAUGCCUGUUUUUUCAGUUGAUUAUAGCUUGUUGUUUGAGCAGCAGAUCCACGGAGCUUUUAGUCAUGAACUGAUACCUAGCAAUAUUAUAAUUGGUAAAAGCCCUAUUGAAAGAGUCGACUCAUGCAUACUUAGGCAGGUUGUGAGGUAAAUUAUGCACUCUUACUUGGAAAAACAUUAAGUGAAGAACUAGAAUAAUGUUUCCAAGAGAGAGGUAAGAGGGUUCGAGUCUCUCUAAUUCUAUGUCCAAAAAAAAUAAAAAAUUAGAAUAGUGUUGCGAACCAACAAGAUACCUAGUAAUGCUAUUUCAUAAUUAUUAAGAUAAGACUGCCCCAAAUAAAUAAUCGUUAUUAAUUGGUGUGAAAAAUAUAGUUGUUAUUUAAUGAUAUUCAUUUCUUGAUUUCUGAUAAGCAUCUCCAACGAGGUGAAAGCUUACUGAACCAGAUUAAGAGAUUUAGGAAGAGGACAAAAGCAAGAUUAGAGAAAAUCUAGCAACAUAUGAUCUAAAUCAAUUAAACUAUUUAACACACAUAGUAUUUUAUAGAUUUUAAUAUCAUUUUGUUGCUAGCAGAUUGUGUAGUACAUCCGUACUCGACCUUAUUGCCGUCAUAACCUAUUCAACUUGGGCCACUAGGCCAUUGCCAACUCUUAUAUAUUGAUAAGAUCCGAAUGGAGUUAUGGAUUUUUAGCAUAUUUAAUUUCUUUGCCUUGCAAAUGUCAGUUGGUCAUUGCACAGGUUAGAAUCUAGCUAAUCACACAUGUAAACAAACCAAAGGCCCCAAAAAGAAAUUGGAGGGCACAACAGUCAUGGUGUAGGUAGCUCUGCAAAUGGCAAUUAAACAUUUACUAGGCAUCCAAAGCAAUUAAAACUUGUGCCGAAAAUUUAGCCCAAUUCCCUCCCCUAAGUAAGUCACAAUAAUGCAUCACUUGGGCACCCAUCUUCCAGUGUCACGUCCCCUUCCAAAGAAAAUGGCAUUUUACACCCUUAAUCACCCACCUUCACACACAAAAACACACCCGCACUCGUUUGCUGUAAUAUCCUGAAUUUUAUAAUAAUAAAAAAAAAAAAUAAAAAAAAAAAAUAAAAAUCCUGAAUUUUAUUAAAUUCUUAUUGAGAUUAGGAAAUUUACAAUUGAUUUAACUUAAAUUAAUAUUCAGGUUUGGCAUUACAAUUCAUGCCACACUAUAUUGAAUGGAUAAUCCUAAUUUCAUUUGAUGGAAAUUUAGUAUGUUGUUGGGUUAAUAUAUUUACUCUUUAAGAGGAGAUGCGACAAACUAUUGAAAAUUGAGUGAAAUUAAUGAAGAAUAAUUGAUGGUGGUAGAAAGUAAAGACAGAAUUAAAGUCCAAGAAUUUAAAAUGAGAGUAAAUUGGGAAGUUGAUAUAGAAAGUGAAAAACAAAUUGAGGGUUAAGAAUGAAAAUAAUAAUAAUAAUAUUCGGAAGCUUCAUUCACUCCAGAUAUAUAUAUAUAUAUAAUAUACACAUAUUGGAUUAUCGUUGUAAUGGCACUUUAUGCGUCUUUUAUUAGUUUUGUUAAGGGUUCGCUCACCUUUGAACAUUUUUAUUAAUAUAUAUUUACUUAUCAAAAUAUAUAUAUAUAUAUAUAUAUAUAUAUAUAUAUAUAUAUAUAAUAUACACACGUAUUGGAAUAUGAGAAGAGAAUAAAGAAAUAGGUAAAGAGGAGGACACGCGUCAUCAACUUAAAUAUAUAUAUAUAUAUAUAUAUAUAUAUAUAUAUAUAUAUAUAUAUAUGGGCGACAUGUGUCACACAAACAUAGUGUCCAACACUUAUGUCUACAUGCAAAUAUACCGACACAUGUAUCCAGAUUAUGUUAAUUCAAAGGCUUCCAAGACACGUUUUGACCAAAAUUAAUUCAUAUGAGGAGUUGAUGUGAGAUACAGAAGAAGUAUAAAGCAAAGGUUUAACUGAGAAGACAAAGGGAGCUUAAGACACGGCCACAGAAAGAGAAAGAAAAGGAAGGAGGGAGGGAGAGGAAGGGAAGAAGAAAAAGGAAAGCAGAACAGGCAAGCAGAAAAGGAGUCUAACGAAGCUGUAGAAAGAUACUUGGAGUGAAGAAGAAGAGAGGCUAUUAGUUGAAUCUCGUGAGAUGAUUGGAAACAGAUGGGCAGAAAUUGCUAAGCGAAUUCCUGGCAGGACUGAGAAUUCAAUAAAGAACCAUUGGAAUGCCACAAAAAGGAGGCAGAAUUCAAGGAGGAGCAGGAAACAAGAAGGCCAAAAUGGAAGGAGUGCUCGAUCAUCAUCUAUAUUACAAGACUACAUAAGAAACAAGAAUCUCAAUGGUACUUCAACCAUUAUUACCUCUACCCAAAGCACCACCACUACCCCAACAGACUCCAGCAUCUCAGAAGACUUAGAAUUGGUGAGAUUGGUGAAGCAAUACGGCAUAAGGAAAUGGGCUCAGAUAGCUGAGAAGAUGGUUGAUAGAGCCGGAAAACAGUGCCGUGAGUGGUGGCAUAAUCUGAUAUCAAGAAAGAUACUUGGAAUGAAGAAGAAGAGAGGCUAUUAGUUGAAUCUCGUGAGAUGAUUGGGAACAUAUGGGCAGAAGUUGGUAAGCAAAUUCCCUGCAGGAUUGAAAAUUCUAUUAAGAACCAUUGGAAUGCCACGGAAAGGAGGCAGAAUCCAAGGAGGAGCAAAGGGCAAAAUGCAAGGGGUACUCCAUCAUCUAUAUUACAAGACUAUAUAAGAAGCUACAGUCUUACUGGUACCGCGUCCAUUAGAACCCCUACCCAAAGCACCACCACCACUACCCCGACGGACUCAAACGUCUCGGAAGACAUGUCAUGCCAGUUUGCUCUUUCACUAAGAGAACUUUAUAAGAAGCAAGAAUCUGAAUGGUACUUCAACCAUUAUUACCUCUACCCAAAGCACCACCACUACCCCAACAGACUCGAGCAUCUCAGAAGACUUGUGCCAAUUUGCUCUGCAGUAACUCUCUGAAUCCACCGUAGAUGACUCUUCGCCAUUUAUGAAUCAUAUGUAUGAGGAUGAAUUGAGAUUCAUGCAGAUCUUCUUUGGUAACAGCAGCAAUCAAGGAGAAGGAGCAGGAAACAAGAAGGCCAAAAUGGAAGGAGUACUCAGUCAUCAUCUAUAUUACAAGACUACAUAAG